rnacentral:tRNA from 1 species
GCGCCCGUAGCUCAGCUGGAUAGAGUACCUGGCUUCGAACCAGGUGGUCGGGGGUUCGAGUCCCUCCGGGCGUACCA